GAAUUCAACUCCUACGGGAGGCAGCAGUGGGGAAUCUUAGACAAUGGGCGCAAGCCUGAUCUAGCCAUGCCGCGUGAGCGAUGAAGGCCUUAGGGUUGUAAAGCUCUUUCAGUGGGGAAGAUAAUGACUGUACCCACAGAAGAAGCCCCGGCUAACUCCGUGCCAGCAGCCGCGGUAAUACGGAGGGGGCUAGCGUUGUUCGGAAUUACUGGGCGUAAAGCGCACGUAGGCGGACUGGAAAGUCAGGGGUGAAAUCCCGGGGCUCAACCCCGGAACUGCCUUUGAAACUCCCGGUCUUGAGGUCGAGAGAGGUGAGUGGAAUUCCGAGUGUAGAGGUGAAAUUCGUAGAUAUUCGGAGGAACACCAGUGGCGAAGGCGGCUCACUGGCUCGAUACUGACGCUGAGGUGCGAAAGCGUGGGGAGCAAACAGGAUUAGAUACCCUAGUAGUCCAGGCGUU
rnacentral:rRNA from 1 species